AACCCACUGAUGUUGCAAAAUCAGGGGAUGAUCUGUGGAUAGGGGUGAAAGGCCAAUCAAACCUGGAGAUAGCUGGUUCUCUCCGAAAACUAUUGAGGUAGUGCCUCGUGUUUAUCACUGCCGGGGGUAGAGCACUGUUAUGGCUAGGGGGUCACGCCGACUUACCAAACCAUGGCAAACUCCGAAUACCGGUAAGCGCAAUCACGGGAGACAGACAGCGGGUGCGAACGUCCGUUGUCAAGAGGGAAACAACCCAGACCGCCGUCUAAGGCCCCCAAGCCGUUGCUAAGUGGGAAACGAAGUGGGGGGGCACACACAGCCAGGAUGUUGGCUUAGAAGCAGCCAUCAUUUAAAGAAAGCGUAAUAGCUCACUGGUCUAGUCCCCCUGCGCGGAAAAUGUAACGGGGCUUAAGCAACGCGCCGAAGACGCGGGUGUCAGAAGGUUGAGUAAAGGGAAUUCGGCUUAAAGCCGAAUCGUGGAACGGGCGUUUACCCUAGCCCGUUCCUUUGCGGUAUGGUAAAAUUCGGGCAUGACGACAAACGCCAUUGCCAUCGCGCGCAAUCUAGCCGCCGCGGGAGUGGAACAAAAAGCCGCGGAUGCGAUUGCAGAGGCGGUCGUCACGCAUUCCGACGAAAGCUUUGCCACGAAAACAGAUGUCGCCAAUGUGAGAAACGAUAUUGUUAGGUUGGAAGGCAAAAUAGAGGCAUUGGCGAUACAGAUUAAAAUAUCCAUAGGAUUGUCGGUCGGGCUUUAUGUCGCUCUCUUCGCCUUUCUUUUGGGAAAACUGUAGUCAAGAGAAGAUGAGAAUAUUGUCGGACAUGUUGGUUAAUGGGUUUCAGCAGCUCAUUGAACUUAUUUUGUGGCUUUCUUUGUUGAUAUUUCUUGUAGGAGGAUGGACAUUAAAUCAGGUCAUGGGCCUUGUGGUGGGUUUCUUGCUCUGGCUCGUUAUUAUGUCUGUUUUUUGCAGUUUAUUUAUUAUGGUUUACGACAUUAGAAUAAGCUUGAAAAAUAUUGAAAAAUCCGCCAGUCUCGGAAAGAAAGAAAAUAAUACAAAUUAAUUCACGCAACUGUCGGUUGUGGGCGGUUGAAGAAUUCCCUUUACUCAACCUUUUGACGCGGUAGGAGAGCGUUCCGUAAGCCAGUGAAGGCGGUUUGAAAGGGCCGCUGGAGGUAUCGGAAGUGAGAAUGCUGACAUGAGUAACGUUAAAACGGGUGAAAAACCCGUUCGCCGAAAGUCCCAGGUUUCCUGUGCAAUGUUAAUCAUCGCAGGGUUAGUCGAUUCCUAAGGCGAGGCCGAAAGGCGUAGUCGAUGGAAAACGGGUUAAUAUUCCCGUACCUUCGCAUGAUGCGAUGGGGUGACGGAGAGUGCUGCCUUGUCCGGGUGUUGGAAGUCCCGGUUCAAGCUGGUAGUUCAUUGAUGUUUCCAGGUAAAUCCGGAAACGGAGAAUGAGAAGCGACAACGACCGCUUUUUCGGAAGCGGGAAGCAAGUGACGCACGCUCCCAAGAAAAGCCUCUAAGCUUCAGUCAUGCGAGGAUCGUACCGCAAACCGACACUGGUGGACAGGAAGAAUAUUCCAAGGCGCUUGAGAGAACUCGGGUGAAGGAACUCGGCAAAAUGAUACCGUAACUUCGGGAGAAGGUAUGCCCCGACAAUGUGAAGUCCCUCGCGGACGGAGCAGUAAGGGGUCGAAGAGAAUUGGUGGCUGCGACUGUUUACUAAAAACACAGCACUCUGCAAACACGAAAGUGGAAGUAUAGGGUGUGACGCCUGCCCAAUGCCGGAAGGUUAAUUGACGGGGUUAGCCCUUAUGGGCGAAGCUCCUGAUCGAAGCCCCGGUCAAUGGCGGCCGUAACUAUAACGGUCCUAAGGUACCGAAAUUCCUUGUCGGGUAAGUUCCGACCUGCAGGAAUGGCGCAACGAUGGCCACACUGUCUCCACCCGAGACUCAGUGAAAUUGAAAUGAGUGUGCUGAUGCACCCUACCCGCUGUUAGACGGAAAGACCCCGUGCACCUUUACUGCAGCUUUGCAUUGAGUUUUGAAUAGGUUUGUGUAGGAUAGGUGGGAGGCGAUGAAGCCGAGGCGCCAGCUUCGGUGGAGCCAUCCUUGAAAUACCACCCUGAUUUAUUUGGAACCCUAACCUAGCCCCGUUAUCCGGGGCGGGGACCAUGCAUGGCGGGCAGUUUGACUGGGGCGGUCUCCUCCCAAAGAGUAACGGAGGAGCGCAAAGGUAUGCUUCGCUCGGUCGGAAAUCGAGCUGGACGUGCAAUGACAAAAGCAUGCUUGACUGCAAGAGUGACGGCUCAAGCAGGUGCGAAAGCAGGUCAUAGUGAUCCGGUGGCGCUUUAUGGAAGGGCCAUCGCUCAACGGAUAAAAGGUACGCCGGGGAUAACAGGCUAAUUCCUCCCAAGAGUCCACAUCGACGGAGGAGUUUGGCACCUCGAUGUCGGCUCAUCACAUCCUGGGGCUGUAGCAGGUCCCAAGGGUAUGGCUGUUCGCCAUUUAAAGUGGUACGUGAGCUGGGUUUAGAACGUCGUGAGACAGUUCGGUCCCUAUCUGCAGUGGGCGCUGGAAAUUUGAAGGGAUCUGCUCCUAGUACGAGAGGACCGGAGUGGACGAACCUCUGGUGUACCGGUUGUCGCGCCAGCGGCAUUGCCGGGUGGCUAUGUUCGGAAUGGAUAACCGCUGAAAGCAUCUAAGUGGGAAGCCAACCCUGAGACGAGAUUUCCCGAGGGCUUGACCCUCCUGAAGACCCCUUGAAGACGACGAGGUUGAUAGGUCGGAUGUGGAAGUGCGGCAACGCAUUAAGCUAACCGAUACUAAUUGGUCGUGCGGCUUGGUUCC
rnacentral:rRNA from 1 species